rnacentral:rRNA from 1 species
AGCGAACGCUGGCGGCAGGCCUAACACAUGCAAGUCGAGCGGCCGUAGCAAUACGGCAGCGGCAGACGGGAGAGUAACACGUGGGAACGUACCCUUCGGUUCGGAAUAACUCAGGGAAACUUGAGCUAAUACCGGAUACGUCCGUAAGGAGAAAGAUUUAUCGCCGGGGGAUCGGCCCGGGUCCGAUUAGCUAGUUGGUGGGGUAAUGGCCCACCAAGGCGACGAUCGGUAGCUGGUCUGAGAGGAUGAUCAGCCUCACUGGGACUGAGACACGGCCCAGACUCCUACGGGAGGCAGCAGUGGGGAAUAUUGGACAAUGGGCGCAAGCCUGAUCCAGCCAUGCCGCGUGGGUGAUGAAGGCCCUAGGGUUGUAAAGCCCUUUCGGCGGGGAAGAUAAUGACGGUACCCGCAGAAGAAGCCCCGGCUAACUUCGUGCCAGCAGCCGCCGUAAUAC